GGAGCCAGUGACUGUAAAGGCAAAAACGG
rnacentral:piRNA from 1 species